AUCCAUCUGACGAAUCCCAAAUAGAACGAAAUGCACCUCUUAGAU
rnacentral:hammerhead_ribozyme from 1 species